rnacentral:rRNA from 1 species
AUUGAACGCUGGCGGCAUGCCUUACACAUGCAAGUCGAACAGUAACGGGCCUUCGGGUGCCGACGAGUGGCGAACGGGCGAGUAAUACAUCGGAACGUGCCCGAUCGUGGGGGAUAACGAGGCGAAAGCUUUGCUAAUACCGCAUACGAUCUACGGAUGAAAGCAGGGGACCGCAAGGCCUUGCGCGGACGGAGCGGCCGAUGGCAGAUUAGGUAGUUGGUGGGAUAAAAGCUUACCAAGCCGACGAUCUGUAGCUGGUCUGAGAGGAUGAUCAGCCACACUGGGACUGAGACACGGCCCAGACUCCUACGGGAGGCAGCAGUGGGGAAUUUUGGACAAUGGGCGCAAGCCUGAUCCAGCCAUGCCGCGUGCAGGAUGAAGGCCUUCGGGUUGUAAACUGCUUUUGUACGGAACGAAAAGCCUUCUUUUAAUACAGGAGGGUCAUGACGGUACCGUAAGAAUAAGCACCGGCUAACUACGUG